CUAUGCUCCUCCUGUCUUUGUUCACCCUCCUUAAGGCUAUGGGAAUUGCUAUUCCAUUUCACUUGAAGUGGAUUUUGGCUCCAUAAAGAAUAUGAGUGACUCCUGCUAGAUGAAGCUUCCAAAUAGCAUGCCCAGGCUCUUGGCACUUUUGGUAACCAAAACCCACGGUCCAGUCAAUGGGAGAGACACAGGACUAUAGGUAAUGCCAAUGGAUGGAUGUGGCAUCCUUGGAACAGGCUCCAAGUCUCACAGGUGGGGGUGGGUGCUGCUGUUGCUUAUCUUUUAAAAUGAGUUUCCAUGUUUUAUCUGUGAGAGGGACCCACAACUAGCAAGAUUUACUAAACACUUAAAAUCACCAGUUGUAACCCCUGAUAGACAGCUGAAAUUUGGGAGUUUCGGAGUGAUUUCUGAGGUCUAAGAGGGAAGCAGGGUGGUGCAGGAAGGCAUGCAUGGAAACUGGUGUCAGGCAGAGCUACGUCCAGAUCCUAAACUGACCUUUUUAGUUGUACGAUUUUGAGAAAGCUGAGUCCAAACUUUCUCACAUGUAUCAUCAAGGCAUCAUUUUGCACAUUUCUUUUUGGGUGUGACUUGAGUAAAGAACAGAGAUGGCUUUUCUUGCUCCCAGCACCAAGACACCCAAAUGCAACCCCAGAUAUGGGGCAGUAAAUAUUCUGUGAAUGAAGCAAUCUGUAUUUAUGAGUGCCCUGUCAUUCCCCAGUCUAUCAAUGUGAUCAGCCUCUUUCCUUUAUCUGCAGUCUGCCACAUCUUACUCUUGACCAGGAUUACACAAAGCCUGAGGCUGGAGUGACAGAGCUAAAAGCUUAUGGUACAUAAAGUGGCCCAGAAUCGAGAACCCCCCACUAUGGUACCACAUCCAGUCUUAUUUUCGGGAGACAGUACCAAGCUGUUUAGUUUUUUUUUGUUGUUUGUUUUGUUUUGUUUUGCAAAACACAUGGCCCUUCCUUCCAAACCAUUAGUAUAACUCCAGAAUUCAAACCUGAAGAAUUAGAUGACAGUCGAGUAUGAGUGAUGGACAGAGGCCCAUGGGCUGUUUAAUGCUUAAAGAAAUUGGUUACUUUUAAAGACUGUCAUUUCAGCUAUUGUAAUAGGCUCAAGGGAGAGAGAUUUGGGGGUUCAAAUAGCAGGAAGUAGGUGACUGGUCUCUCAGCUUUUCUGGGAAGCCAGACUUGAAUUUGACCUAAAUAAGGCAUGCCAAUCAACCUCUGAUUAAUACAAAACCCAAGCUUCAUCUCUUUGUUUCAUCACUUUUCUGGGGUGUUGGUAAAUCUCUGAAAAGCUCAAAAGGCAAAUCAGGAAAAAGAAGAUUUUAAAGUUCCAUUUUUUGCCACUUGUUAACCAAGCAGAUAAGCUCCUUUGGUUCAGGUGAGGCUUCAGGAUUAACUCCAGGAUUCAUAACUGUGUCUUCCCUCUGCCCCAGAAAACAGAAAGCUGGCUGUCUUUCGUCACCUGCACUUCCUAUCCAAGAAUAGGAUUAUUUUAAGACACUCUGAAUCUCCUUCCACCUCCUAUCCUGUGGACUCCAGGGCUUUGACAGUAAUGCUUCCCCUUCCCCUUCCAUUCAAUAGGACUUUAAGCAAAUCAUUUAGUGUAACCAGUCAAAAAGAACCAUCUGUAAAUCAGAUGCAGAAGGCAAUAAAAACAGCACCAGUGACACACAAACAGCAUUCUAUAUUUGACAAGUUGAGCCUCUGAUAAAAACAGUAUAUUUUGCCAUUCCAACCCCCCCCAAUCCAGGAAGCACUGACAAGAAAAGCAGUAGGAGCGGCAACACCCUGCAACAAAAAGAUAAUGUCGACAGUCUAUUUCCAGCCCUGCUUGGUUCCCACUGCCUAGUUAAUAACACUUGCCUCCAAAGAGUUGGCCAGCCAUCCUCCCAACCCCAUUCCCAGUCCACAUGGUAAAUAUUAACUAUGGUCUAAGAUUCAGUCAGUCAUCCCACCCAUGGGGCUAUCUGGAGAGACUCCAGGAAUGAGACAGCGCCUGCAGAGCAAGUAGGAGCCUUUUUCUACUAGAUUGAAUGUGAAUGGCAAGAAUGUUCCAAAGUGAACAUUCUGUACAUCUUUUCAUAAUGGCAAGAACAUUCCAAAGUAUACGUUCUGUACAUCUGAUACAAACAGAGCUGCAGAGUGAGUAUGUACACUUGCAGAUGCACAGUCAUGGACCAUGGACUAGAAGGGCCACACUGACUGAGAGAAGGCAGUAUAGCCACUUUCAUGGAAGGUUUUGUCUGGCCAGCCACUGAGCUAAGUGCUGUACCUGUCCUAGUAGUGGAGAUGUUGUUAUCGCCACAUUACCAAGAAAGGGCAAAUGAGAGAUGGAGGAGAUGGCAAUGUGAAGGCACAGACACACAAGGAGAAAGAAUGUCGUGUGAUGAUAAAGGCAGAGGUUGGUGUAAUAUACCUGCAAGAAAGGAACACCAAGGAUUGCCAACAAACCACCAAGAGGAAAGGAGGGAUUUCCCUAUAGGUUUCAGAAGAUUUUCAGAGUAGGUUUUAGGGGCAUGGCCCUGUCAACACUUUGAUUUUGGACUUCUAGGCUUCAGAACUGUGAGAUAUUAAAUUUCUGCUGUUUUAAGUCACCUGUUUUGUGGUAUUUUGUUAUGGCAGCUCCAGGAAAUAAAGACAGUGUCUGUUCAGAAUUACUAACAAAUCAGGUGGAAACCAUACAUUUUAAAUCACCUAUCUUUCUAAAAGACUUACAAAUGUUAUCAGAUAUCCUCUACCUAUGAUAGCUCAUUCCAGACAGCUAAAAGUUUAACAUUCUCUCUCUAAAAGCAUCCCAGUAUCCCUUUAUUUAAAGGUAUUACCAAUCUCCAAGUCUUAAAGAACAAAAUCAAAAUCAAAGUAUACAGAUGUAUAAAAAUAGAUAAAAGUGUAGCGCCUACAGUUUAAGGAUUUGGGGACCUUCAGACCUGCUGCCAACUCUCUCUUAUGAUCCUUAAUCACCCCCAAAGAACCACUAGGGUUCCACAGCACUUAGGCUGAGAAACACUGUUCUAGGGAAUGCAAAUCAUGGGUGCUUACCGCCACAUUCGGAAGUACACUAGGAGUUCUCUUGAAUGACGGCCACACAACUGAUUUGCCAGCUUAAGAAAUGUUCUCCAUCCUUUCUGUAAAAUAUGGUGACAGACACCCAAGCUGAGACUGCAGGCUGUGCCCCUGUGCUUCUGCUUCCACCAGUUGAGAUGUGAGCUUUUGGAGUCUGUUUUCAAACCUGUUUCUGCCGGUUGCCUUAUUCGUGUAAUUACAUAAUUUGGUUGCAGAUUAUAUACACUGAUGAAAUGUAAGUGUGAAAAGAAAAUGCUCUAAGUUGCAUGCUUUGGAACAUUGGAUAAAAAAAGUUGCUAAAACAAAAUCAAAACUGUUGGCAAACCAGGUGUGGGUGGGUCAACCCCAAAGACUGGAAGACUCUGUACUUAGACUGCUUCCUAAGUGCCUUCAAGAUCUCACUCCAUUUUAAGUAAACUGGAACUGAAAAUUGCAGAUGGUGACUUUUAGGUAUGGUUUAUUGGUCAUUAAAAACUCCAACUGGCAAACCUAAGAAAUGCUUUGGUCUUGUAUGAAAAAAUUGGUGAGUGAAUAUGUGUUUAUAUGCUUUAAGUCAAAAUAAAACAUUGAGGGUACACACAUAUCAUGUUAUGAUUAACCAUAACUAUUUUCAUGGUUUUUUUAAUUAGCUAAUCAGCUGCCAGGUCCAGGUGCAUGGACUGAGAGAGACUUUAUGCAGUUGCUUCAUUUUGGAUGCUAUAUUUUUUGGAUAGGCAAAUUCUGCUUUUUUGUCUUAGUUGUCAUCAGUGGCUAUCUAGAAUGUAAGCUCCAUGAGGGAGGGAAUACUUGUUUGCUUUGUUCAGUGAUGUCCAUUUUU